UACGUAGGGUGCAAGCGUUGUCCGGAAUUAUUGGGCGUAAAGAGCUCGUAGGCGGUCUGUCGCGUCUGCUGUGAAAACUCGGGGCUUAACCCCGGGCCUGCAGUGGGGUACGGGCAGACUAGAGUGCGGUAGGGGAGACUGGAAUUCCUGGUGUAGCGGUGAAAUGCGCAGAUAUCAGGAGGAACACCGGUGGCGAAGGCGGGUCUCUGGGCCGUAACUGACGCUGAGGAGCGAAAGCGUGGGGAGCGAACAGG
rnacentral:rRNA from 1 species